AUGGCGGCGAAGGCACAAAGUGGAUUUGUGCCUCCAACGCUAGGGCCUCCCGGCCAGCAGAAUGAUCAACCAUAUGCUCCGGCGGAAGCUAGCCAACAGGCACCGUCGCCUAGCACAGGUAAAGCGUUGUCGACUGGAACAAUCCCUGACCCCAGCAACGGCAACAACUCUUACGCAUCAAGAACGCCAUACAACGCAGAUGAUGGCAAGGGCAUCAUCUAG
rnacentral:rRNA from 1 species